rnacentral:rRNA from 1 species
UUCUGCCCUAUCAACUAGUUGGUAAGGUAGUGGCUUACCAAGGUGACAACGGGUAACGGGGAAUUAGGGUUCGAUUCCGGAGAGGGAGCCUGAGAAAUGGCUACCACAUCCAAGGGAGGCAGCAGGCGCGGAAAUUACCCGAUCCAGACAAUGGGAGGUGGUGACGAGAAAUACUAGAUGGCAUCCCAUAUGGGAUGUCAUACUGGAAUGGAGGUAAUUUAAGAAAUUCGAUGAGUAACAACUGGAGGGCAAGUCUGGUGCCAGCAGCCGCGGUAAUUCCAGCUCCAGUAGCGUAUGCUAACGUUGUUGCGUUUAAAACGCUCGUAGUCGGAGAGUGAGAUGUGUGUGGCAGUGGAUUGUGUGAUGAAUGCGGAAAAAUCUGGUGGUGAUGUGGGUUGUGCUAUGGUUAAUCCUGGUAUGACUGCAUGGCCAUUGGAGUGUUUGUGGCGCAAUUAAUGGCUGUUAUCACGCACACAUGUAUGAGUACGUUUGAGCGGGAGUUGACCUUUAGUGAGUCGGCUUUCAAUCUUGAACGAGAUGUGCCUUGAAUAAAACAGAGUGCUCAAAGCAGGCGAUAUUAGCUGGAAUGUGAUAGCAUGGAACGAACAAAGUGGUCGUGGAACUGGUAUGCGUGUGUGCAGGUGAGAGGUAAUACUCUUGACUGUGUCUGCGUGCCAGCUCCCAGCACCUACCACCAUCACGGAUGUUGGCUUCCGUCUUGGGGUGAUGAUUAAGAGGAGCGGUUGGGGGCAUUGGUAUUUUGCAGCGAGAGGUGAAAUUCUUGGACCUGCAAAGGACUCACAAAUGCGAAGGCAUUUGCCAGGACCGUUUCCAUUGAUCAAGAACGAAAGUGAGAGGUUCGAAGACGAUCAGAUACCGUCCUAGUUCUCACUGUAAACCAUGCCGACCCGGGAUCAGUUAUGAGCCUACAUAGAUAGCUCGCGGUUGGUCCCCCCGCGAAACC